rnacentral:lncRNA from 1 species
CACAGUCGACGCUUCCCGAAAAACUCGGGGGCCCCCUCCCCGCUGGCGUGCACCCCGUGAUUGCGCCGCGGCCGGCACUUCCGCCCCGCGGGCCCUGCGGCCCGGGCAGGGCGCACGCUCCGCGCCCUGCGCCCGCGGUCCUGCCCCCUCGGAGGCGCCCGCGCCCGGGGAGGGCUGGGGGUUCCCGCGGCGCCCGCGGGCGGAGGGUGGGGGAAAGGAAGGAGGAUUUGCAACAAUACCUCGGGGAGGAGGCAGCCGGGGCAGCGGCGGCGGCGGCGGCGGCUGGAGGCGGAGGCAGAGGCGCAGGAGGAGGUGCCGGGCACUCCCCCUCCCAUUGUCCCCAGCCCCGGCCAGGCCCGGCCCCGCGCCCCGCACCGCGCCCCGCGCCCCGCGCCCCGGGCCGUGCAGGCAGCCCUUACCUUGCAGCGCCCGGCUCUCCCCCGCUCGCUAAAGCUACUUAUCCCGGGAAAGCUCGCGCGGGGCCCGGGAGCGAACCCACAGACAAAAAGUGAAACUUCGGCAGGGCUGGAGCGGCUGCUGGGAUAUCUGAAAUAAUCCCUCCCCUCAGCGUAUCAGAAAAGCACUUUCUCACCGGUUUCUUAGAUCUUCAUGAUAGGUAGGACGCAUCGUAGUCCCUCUUUUACAUUUGAGGAAAAAACUCAG